CCUACGGGUGGCAGCAGUGAGGAAUAUUGGUCAAUGGGCGAGAGCCUGAACCAGCCAAGUAGCGUGAGGGACGACGGUCCUAUGGAUUGUAAACCUCUUUUGACGGGGAACAAAGGCGCCCACGGGUGGGCGGAUGAGUGUACCCGAAGAAAAAGCAUCGGCUAACUCCGUGCCAGCAGCCGCUGUAAUACGGAGGAUGCGGGCGUUAUCCGAUUUUAUUGGGUUUAAGGGGUCCGUAGGCGGACAGUCAGGGCCGCGGGAAAGAGGCGGUGCUCAACGGCGUACAGCCUUUGAAACUGGGAGUCUUGAGUGGACGAGAGGUAUGCGGAAUUCGUGGUGUAGCGGUGAAAUGCAUAGAUAUCAGGAAGAACUCCGAUUGCGAAGGCAGCUUACCGGCGUCCUACUGACGCUGAGGCUCGAAAGCGUGGGUAUCAAACAGGAUUAGAUACCCUAGUAGUC
rnacentral:rRNA from 1 species